CUCCUUUCCUUUUAAUGAGAAUGC
rnacentral:siRNA from 1 species